UGUGAUAUACCUCAGUGAUAGAGAGCUGGCAUACAGUGUGCGAGGUCCUGGGUUCAAUUCCCAGUACCAGAA
rnacentral:tRNA from 1 species